UGGGGCAGGGCUCUGGAGAGAUAGGGUUCUAGGACACAUUGGUGAGGUCAUCUGCCCAGGGAAGUCAGGGAGCAUCAUGUUUUUAAGAUUCUUGUACCAGGCUCCAUUCCUUUUAACC
rnacentral:miRNA from 1 species